rnacentral:tRNA from 1 species
GGUCGUUUAGCGCAGCUGGUAGCGCAUCCGCUUGACGUGCGGGAGGUCACAGGUUCAAGUCCUGUAACGACCACCA